CGGAUGAUAUAGAUGAGGCGGAGUUUGACACGAGCAUGUAUCAUUUCAGUGAGCAUAUACCUCCUGCGAGGGAACAACAGCAAGCUGCAGAAGUGGUGCAUGAAAUAGGACAAGUUACUCGCCAACUGCCUCAGGACUAUCAAGUUUCUGAAGAACAAGCUCAGUUGCUCUUCUUCCACUACAGCUAUUCCG
rfam:Arabidopsis thaliana chromosome 4, complete sequence.